UCACAAACCUGUUUUUUUUAAAAUAGCAUGAAUUUGCGAAAGGCUGAUGAAAGCAGCCCUCGUUUUAUUCCCUUCUGGGGCUGUUCACUGCUGCCUGACUCAUCUCUGAACUCCAGCUGAAUCAGGGAGCACAAACCUGCCGGUAAGCCGCCUUUUUCGGGUUGGUUCGUUUUCUUGACACACAUAAGAACCGCGCUGCUGGCCACGCUGAAAUCGCGAAAAACAGAAAUUGUGUGAAAAAGCAGGGGGUGGGACACGAGCAGGGUGCCAGCCGCCUCCUCCCCCCCCCCACAGCGGGAGAGAGGGAAAGGGUCCCUUAGCGGCGGGGGAAAGGGCUUGGAGUGGGGUGAGCAACUCGGACGGUUGUUUGCCGGAGCUGUUCCCGGGGGAACACGGAUGGUUUCCAUCACCCGGGUGGCAGCCAACAGCCUUUCCCAUGAGGUCUGCAGGGAGGUCACGGCUUUUUUUAGCCCGGCUGAUGGAAGUAGGGGAAAAAGCAGAGUGCUUCCCAGCGGACAGGCUGGAAGAGCAACCAGGAGCCCAAAAGUUUGGGGAUGCAUCACCUGGCUAAAAGCCUGGAGGGUUGGGGGCCACUCGGCAGAGCCUCCCACCACCCCCUGGGAUAGUGGAUUUUGGUGCCUGUAUGUCAUCCCCUCCCCAGCCCCCUGCUGCUGCCAUGGUCCCCGUGGGUUUGGCUGAAAGCCCUGGGAAAUGAGACUUUUCCCAGCAAAGGCCCUUUCCGAUGGGAAAAACCCCUGAGCCUUUCCCAAUGGGUGCAGCCAACUGCUUCGGGGGAAGCAGGAGCAGCCAUCGGCCGUGGGAAACUCUCCCUUCCCCACAUCUCAGCGGGGGGGUGAUGGGGGGGCCGUAUAAACCCAUCGGCACAUCCCGGGCUGGGAGCUGCAGCGAGGAGAAGCCAGGUGAUUCCCUGCCCCUUUGCUGAAACGCAAGAAGCAGAAGAGGUUUUUUUCAAGCAGCCUAAAUGAAAAAAAGCCUAUUUUUCUGCAGGGCAGCAGACCCUGCCAGGCCGUCCGGUGUCACUGGAGGAGGCAACAGCAGACGCUGGCUCUGGAGGAUGCGGGGAAGCAGCCACGGUUCGGCCCUGCAAUUCCAGCCUGCUGGGGUUUUCUAUAUAAACCCUACCAAAGAAAAAGCACAGCUACAGGGAGCCAAAACCAAGGGGAUGAGGAGCAGGAACCUGCCCUGGCCAAGCUCACCAGUUCUGAAGUGCUCAAUGAGAAAAGGAAAAUGAUCGGUUUUGUCGUACUGAGAAGAAAGCCACAAUUGGAUUUGUACGCCGAGAAAUGAUGCUUCCAGCAAUGUGAGGGACUUUCCAUCUGCAGGAGGGAACUGGGGCGCUCACCUCUCAAACAGCAUCUUCUUGCACUUCAGCAGAAAACAAACCCAAUGCAAGAAAACAGUGCUGGCUUAUAAAAGAAAAAAAAGAGCUAGUGCACCGAUUAUACUCUACUAUAGAUAGCUAGUUUAGUCUCCAUUUUAAGAGGUCAUCAGACAUGUGAUAAAGCCACCGUACAAUCCCCUAAACAGCUGGGGGAGAAAGGAGCAGCCUGUGACCCACGCAGGACCCUGUGUGGUACCUGCACCACCUCUCUCCCUUCCUGCAAACCCAAGUGUAGGAUCCGAGCACGAAUCAGAGCCUUAAGGGGAAAAAAAAACCAACAACCAAAACAACAACCCAAACAAAAAAACCAAAACAACCCCACACAAAACAAAACAGAGCAUUUUGGCACAACAGCUUAGAAGGAAUCACAAGGGAAUAGACAUAGCUUCCAAUCUCAAAAUAUUCAAAGGAUUAGUGGGGCAGUAAAAAAAAAAAAAGUUUAAAUAAAAGUCUGGCUCCAACCUGACUGGAAAAUGUAUUUCUGAGCCAAACUAGCACUUCUUGGCUCGAGGAUCUGUUUUGUUUUCAUGCUGUAGUAGCGCAGUAGUACCCGCCGCCUGCCCAGGGACGGCCCCGGCAUAUUUAUUUUCCUCACUGGUGAAUGAAACACAGCGGAGCCCUCGCGAUACUCCACCCCAAUGCUCCGGGAAUGCAAACAGGAUCUCAGCUGGGGCGGGGCGACCAUCCAAAAAUCCCACCACCGUCACCAGAGCCGGCCCCGGACUGCCUUC